rnacentral:tRNA from 1 species
GCAGAGGUAGCGAAGCGGUCAAACGCGCUGGCUUCAGGGGUCAGUGACAUUGGUCUUCGAGGGUUCGAAUCCCUCCCUCUGCA